rnacentral:rRNA from 1 species
CCUACGGGAGGCAGCAGUGGGGAAUAUUGGGCAAUGGAGGAAACUCUGACCCAGCAACGCCGCGUGAAUGAUGAAGGUCUUCGGAUUGUAAAGUUCUUUUCUAAGGGAAGAAGAAAGUGACGGUACCUUAGGCAUAAGCCUCGGCUAACUACGUGCCAGCAGCCGCGGUAAUACGUAGGAGGCAAGCGUUAUCCGGAAUGACUGGGCGUAAAGUGUGCGUAGGUGGGUUGACAAGUUGGUAGCGUAACUCCGAGGCUUAACCUCGGCACUACUACCAAAACUGUUGGACUCGAGUGCAGGAGGGGAAAAUGGAAUUCCUAGUGGAGCGGUGGAAUGCGAAGAGAUUAGGAGGAACACCAGUGGCGAAGGCGAUUUGCUGGACUGUAACUGACACUGAGGCACGAAAGCGUGGGGAGCAAACAGGAUUAGAUACCCGAGUAGUC